CAGUAGCCGCGGUAAUACGGAGGGUGCAAGCGUUAUCCGGAUUUAUUGGGUUUAAAGGGUCCGUAGGCGGAUCUGUAAGUCAGUGGUGAAAUCUCACAGCUUAACUGUGAAACUGCCAUUGAUACUGCAGGUCUUGAGUAAAUUUGAAGUGGCUGGAAUAAGUAGUGUAGCGGUGAAAUGCAUAGAUAUUACUUAGAACACCAAUUGCGAAGGCAGGUCACUAAGAUUUAACUGACGCUGAUGGACGAAAGCAUGGGGAGCAAACAGGAUUAGAUACCCCCGUAGUCCCUGUCUCUUAUAC
rnacentral:rRNA from 1 species